CAGCAAUUAAGGACAGUGUGACUCUGUUCUUCUGACUUUGGGAAAACCAGUUUGGCUGGAACAAAAAGCUGAUAGAGAAGACUAAUGGAAGAUAAGGUUGAAAAGGUUAAAAAAUGGAGGCAACAGCUGGGUACAGUGGCUCACUCCUGUAAUUCCAGCACUUUAGGAGGCCAAGGUAGGCAGAUCACUUGAGAAAAAGAGUUCGAGACCAGCCUGGGCAACAUAGUGAGACCCUCUCUCUCAAAAAAAAUAGCCAAGUGUGAUGAUGGACACCUGUAACCCCAACUACUUCAGAGACUGAGGCAGGAGGAUCACUUGAGCCUAGGAGGUCAAGGCUGCAGUGAGCUGUGAUUGGGCCACUGCACUCCAGCCUGGGUGACACAGAGAGACCUCUCUAAAAAAUAAAAAAAUAAAAAAAAUGGAAGCACAGAAAACUAUACCUUUUCUAGCUCAACUUUACCACAUUGAUGAAAAAGUAUUGAGCAGCCACAGGUACAUGACAUUCCACUAUGUUCUUGGGAUAAUAUUAAAGAAAAGGCAUGAAGGUAUGCUCUGAGCAGGCAAGAGAAGUCACAUAAAAUGAGAGUAAUUUAUAAUGUGAUUUUUUC
rnacentral:lncRNA from 1 species